UUCACCUUCCCUGCAGAGAUGCACAUUAAGACCACUAACUUGGAAUGGGUCCUGAUUGUUUUCCUUAUAAGACUCUGAUUGUGUGUGUAGAUAUGUACACAUCCAUGUAUACAUUUGGGAAUGACUUCCCCUGUUCUCUUACAACUGGCACACAGUGACUUCUCAUUCAAGACUCAGUUCAAAGAUCUCUUUCUGUGGGAAACAUUACCUGGCAAUACUGCCAUCUGUAUAGUGUAGAAACAACUGCUUCUCAGGAUAACAAUUCUCAAAUAUUCAGAUUGUACUCCUUCUACUUAUAAAAAAGACUUAGCUGUAGAACAGCCUCAGGCAAGUCCUUCAGGAAGUAUUCCGGAAGAAGGCAUUGUUAUCAUAGGAGAUGACAGCUCUAUGAAUGUUAUUGCCCUUGAAGACCUUCCAGUGGGACAAGACGCAGAGGUGACAGACAAUGACACUGAUGAUCCUGACCCUG
rnacentral:lncRNA from 1 species